rnacentral:rRNA from 1 species
AACGAACGCUGGCGGCAGGCCUAACACAUGCAAGUCGAGCGAGGACUUCGGUCCUAGCGGCGGACGGGUGAGUAACGCGUGGGAACGUGCCCGUUGCUUCGGAAUAGCUCUGGGAAACUGGGAGUAAUACCGGAGGAGCCCUUUGGGGGAAAGAGUUAUCGGCGAAGGAUCGGCCCGCGGUGGAUUAGGGAGUUGGAGGGGUAAUGGCCUACCAAGCCGACGAUCCAUAGCUGGUUUGAGAGGAGGAACAGCCACACUGGGACUGGGACACGGCCCAGACUCCAGCGAGAGGUAGGAAUGGGGAAACUUUGGCAAUGGGGGAAACCCUGAACUAGCCAGGCCGGGAUGGCGGUGAAGGCCUUAGGAUUGUAAAGCUCUUUCAGCUGAGAAGAUAAUGCCGGUACCAGCAGAAGAGGCCCCGGCUAACUCCGG